rnacentral:rRNA from 1 species
AGUGAACGCUGGCGGUAGGCCUAACACAUGCAAGUCGAACGGCAGCACAGUAAGAGCUUGCUCUUACGGGUGGCGAGUGGCGGACGGGUGAGGAAUACAUCGGAAUCUACUUUUUCGUGGGGGAUAACGUAGGGAAACUUACGCUAAUACCGCAUACGACCUACGGGUGAAAGCAGGGGAUCUUCGGACCUUGCGCGAUUGAAUGAGCCGAUGUCGGAUUAGCUAGUUGGCGGGGGAAAGGCCCACCAAGGCGGCGAUCCGUAGCUGGUCUGAGAGGAUGAUCAGCCACACUGGAACUGAGACACGGUCCAGACUCCUACGGGAGGCAGCAGUGGGGAAUAUUGGACAAUGGGCGCAAGCCUGAUCCAGCCAUACCGCGUGGGUGAAGAAGGCCUUCGGGUUGUAAAGCCCUUUUGUUGGGAAAGAAAAGCAGCAGGUUAAUACCCCGCUGUUCUGACGGUACCCAAAGAAUAAGCACCGGCUAACUUCGUG